rnacentral:rRNA from 1 species
UACGAAGGGGGCUAGCGUUGCUCGGAAUCACUGGGCGUAAAGCGCACGUAGGCGGGUCUUUAAGUCAGGGGUGAAAUCCUGGAGCUCAACUCCAGAACUGCCUUUGAUACUGGCGACCUUGAGUCCGGGAGAGGUGAGUGGAACUGCGAGUGUAGAGGUGAAAUUCGUAGAUAUUCGCAAGAACACCAGUGGCGAAGGCGGCUCACUGGCCCGGUACUGACGCUGAGGUGCGAAAGCGUGGGGAGCAAACAGG